UACGUAGGGGGCAAGCGUUGUCCGGAUUUAUUGGGCGUAAAGAGCGUGUAGGCGGUUAGGUAGGUCCGUUGUGAAAACUCGAGGCUCAACCUCGAGACGCCGAUGGAAACCAUCUGACUAGAGUCCGGAAGAGGAGAGUGGAAUUCCUGGUGUAGCGGUGAAAUGCGUAGAUAUCGGGAGGAACACCUGUGGCGAAAGCGGCGCACUGGACCACAUCUGACGCUGAGGCGCGAAAGCUAGGGGAGCAAACAGG
rnacentral:rRNA from 1 species